AUUGAACGCUGGCGGCAUGCCUUACACAUGCAAGUCGAACGGUAACAGGUCUUCGGAUGCUGACGAGUGGCGAACGGGUGAGUAAUACAUCGGAACGUGCCCGAGAGUGGGGGAUAACGAGGCGAAAGCUUUGCUAAUACCGCAUACGAUCUCAGGAUGAAAGCAGGGGACCGCAAGGCCUUGCGCUCACGGAGCGGCCGAUGGCAGAUUAGGUAGGUGGUGGGAUAAAAGCUUACCAAGCCGACGACCUGUAGCUGGUCUGAGAGGACGACCAGCCACACUGGGACGGAGACGCGGCCCAGACUCCUACGGGAGGCAGCAGUGGGGAAUUUUGGACAAUGGGCGCAAGCCUGAUCCAGUCAUGCCGCGUGCAGGAUGAAGGCCUUCGGGUUGUAAACUGCUUUUGUACGGAACGAAAAGACUCUGGUUAAUACCUGGGGUCCAUGACGGUACCGUAAGAAUAAGCACCGGCUAACUACGUGCCAGCCGCCGCGGUAAGAC
rnacentral:rRNA from 1 species